AGUAUUUUACAAUAUGAGUAUACAAUCUCAAAGAUAGAGGGAUCUAAGUGAAUCUGAAUAUACAAAAUCUAACGAGGAUGUACGUGAAUAUGAAAUUAGCGAUAGAAGAACAAAAAAGGACAAAAAGGUUCCGAAGACAAAAGCUUAUAUUUAGUUUGCAGAAAUGGCUAGUGUGCUUCCUGCUCGUGAGGAAAGAAAGAAGAGCGGCAAAGUUGGAGAAUGGGUGGAUUGAAGCUAGCAUUAUUAGGAGCUAUUUGGAAAUGC